UUUUGACUAAUGAAUGCAAUUAAUUUCGAUCGAUGGGUCAAUUUUGUAUUUUGCUCUAAAUUUUUAGCGCUGGUUCCGAAUUACAUCAAAGGUUCAGUCCAACACAUUCCAAGUAUAAAUGACAUCAGGUAGCCACUGUAAAAGGCUGUUAUUUAGGAAUAAGCCAAUGCAUUAUGAAUUAGUUUUUCAGUUCAAAUCGUCAGGACAGAAUCGUCAUGAAGUUAAGAUUUUUAAUUUAAAAUUUCAGGAGAAAAUAAGCACGAAUUAAUCUCUAAAUAGCAUCCCUAGGAAUGGGUAUUUGUGCACUUGCCCCCCAUUCCAAAGAGGAGUCCAGUCCAAUUGUCCAUCCUUUUUUCUUUUCUUUUUCCUGGAGUAUAAACCUUUUUAUUUUUUCUUUUUAUUCCAAAUCUUUUUGUGGAAAUACAAAGAAAAACGGAGGGGAAAACGGAGAAGGAAAACAAGAGUGUGAAGAAGAAAGCAUGCGAUGUGGAGGCUCUGAAGAAAUGUUUGGAAGAAAAUAAAGGCGACUAUUUGAAAUGCCAGUCUCAUAUUGAAGCUUUUAAGUCAUCUUGCUCUAUCAACAACCCUAAUUCUUCUUCGGAAUAUCCCCCAAAGCUCAGCUCCGUUGUAGAGGACCUCAGAUAAGCAACUCGAAUGAAGAUUGGAAGACCGAAGCCCUAUCUUCUGCUGUUAGCAGUAAUAAAGCCAAAAAGAAGAUUCAAGUUCAAGUCACUGCAUUUUUUGUAACAUUGCACAACUAGUCUAUAGUCUUCUAAUCUAUGUAAUUUCUUCGGCUUUAACCUGAACAUGUGAUUCCAGAAAUAUGUGCUUUUUGGUAAGUAGAAAGAGAAGAAAAUAAUGAGGAAAGCAAGUGGUGUUGGAUGGGCGCCCAAUUACAGAUUUUGCAUGCCUUUAGCAUGUUAUUGUCUUACUUGUCAUAUGUGAAGUGUCAUUUACAAAAGCAUAUUUGUCUAUUAA